AUUGAACGCUGGCGGCAGGCCUAACACAUGCAAGUCGAGCGGAUGAAGGGAGCUUGCUCCUGGAUUCAGCGGCGGACGGGUGAGUAAUGCCUAGGAAUCUGCCUGGUAGUGGUGGAUAACGUCCGGAAACGGGCGCGAAUACCGCAUACGUCCUGCGGGAGAAAGUGGGGGAUCGUCGGACCUCAUGCUAUCAGAUGAGCCUAGGUCGGAGUAGCUAGUUGGUGGGGUAAAGGCUAACAAGGCGACGACCCGUAACUGGGCUGAGAGGAGGAUCAGUCACAUGGGAACUGAGACAGGGUCCAGACUACUGAGGGAGGCAGCAGUGGGGAAUAGGGGACAAUGGGCGAAAGCAUGAUACAGCCAGGCCGCGUGUGUGAAGAAGGUCUUCGGAUUGUAAAGCACUUUAAGUGGGGAGGAAGGGCAGUAAGUUAAGACCUUGCUGUUUUGACGUUACCAACAGAAGAAGCACCGGCUAACUUCGUG
rnacentral:rRNA from 1 species